rnacentral:rRNA from 1 species
AUGAAGUGUGUGACUUCGGUAUGGUUCACAAUCAGGAUGAACGGAGAGCUGCUACCUUUUUUCAGUCCGUUCAGGGGGCUUCGGCAGGGGUGCCCCAUGUCGCCGUAUCUAUUUUUGCUAUGCGCACAGGGCCUCACAUCACUACUAAAUAAUUUUGGUGGCGCAUACAUCGACAGAGGCAUCAGAGAUGCCCUAAAUGUUGGUCUUAUUCGCCGAGUGGGUGACGGACAAUCCAUAGCUACCUGGACGGACAGUUGGAUACCCAACACUCCGACGCUAAAGCCCAAGGGGCGCAUUGGAACUACGCCACUUCCUACUAUCUCAGAGCUCAUAAAUGAUUACACUGGUAACUGGAAUGAGCAACUGACUCGUCAAAAAUUCAUGCAACUGGACAUGGAGGCUAUCCUGAAUAUACCACUAAACCCGACAGGCGGCGAAGAUACUUUGGCUUGGGCCUUGGAGAAAUCUGGCAUCUACUCUGUAAAAUCAGCAUAUCGUACUCUUGUGACUCGCAACGAGCUCAGCUCUUAG